CGUCGAAUUUGGACGGAAGCCACGGCCGGGGCACGCACUCAUACACAGUCUUUGUUCACUGCCCAUUUCGGCCUAAUUUCCGCCUCGAAUAUUCAUCAUUUCUUUGUUUUAACCAAAAUCAGUAGAAUAUAUGACAUCCGUAACAGCGAGACGGAACAAUCAGGAAUAUGUUGUACCAUCCAGUACAUCCCAGGAGGUACAACCGUCCCCCUUAGCUCUACUAGCCGCUACGUGUAGUAAGAUCGGAGCACCCCCUCCCACGCCCACGGAAGAAGGGAACAACCCAACAGGAGGGACACAAGUCAGGGUAAUCGGUCAGGGGAGUGGAGAAGGUGCCGUAGCCCCGACAUGGAUACAACUGGCGAACGGAGCGAUUGUUGACGCCAGCGGUAAACAACAGACAAUCGGGAUACCGAUACAGGCGGCGGGGGCCCAACCUCAGCUCAUCACAUCGGUCAUCCCGCAAUUUCAGACUGUCAACGUGGAUGGUCAAGAGGCUAUUUUUAUUCCGUCAUCCGGUGUGGGCGGAGGCCAAACCAUCCUGGCGGGGAAUCAACAGCAAGUUUAUACCACACCCACGGGCCAAAUCAUACGACAGGGGCUACCUACGGGGAGUAUGAUUCCCAAUAUGGGAUAUAAUUUGGCGGGAAAUAUGGUAAACAUUGGUGGAAAUGUUGUUAGUCUAGCGGGCGUACAAGGACUGCAGAACCGCCCACAUGGUGUUGUACAGGCGGUUCAAAUGCCUCAACAAAUGCAACAAAUGUCAAACCUUAUACAAAUUCCUGUGUCAACUUCUAAUGGCCAGUCUACCUACCAAACCAUCCAACUCCCCAGCAUGCAGGGGUUCCCAAUGGCCUUUCCCCAGGGCCAACAGGCUACACCCCAAUUACAGGCACUUUCAGUGAAUACCUCUGGGGUGGGGCAGGGUUCUGCUGGUCAGAUCACGACUGUGGGAAACCAACAGGUGACACAAGUACCACAACCCCAGCUUAUAGAAAUUGCUGCUGCCACAACAGUUAAAUCCCAAUCUGAUGGCAGCAAGCCCUCGACUCCUCAGUCACAACCCACAAUCGCGUCACAAGCGACCACCACCCCAGUGCUUCAAUCAUCACAACAAAACAAUGCCGGUGCAAUUAUGACGGCAGGUUCGUUUAGUGCAACUCCUGGCACCCCGAACAUUUUAUCACAAAUGCCUACGCUGGUACCGAUCGGUACGAACUUUAUAAAUACAGCGACAGGUCAGGUGAUACCAAUGUCUCAAGCUAUGGGGACAAAUGGACAAAAUGUGAUAGUGGCGUCAAUGACGCAACAGAGUGGUUCAAGUUCUACAACUACAACUUCUGCUACCUCGACAGUGGCAUCAACACAGCAACAGCCGCCAUCGUUGGUGCAGGCUAUCCCUCAACAGAUCACAGUUCAGGCAUUGCCUUCGCAAAAUUUUGCAAAUCUUCAAUUCGCGGGACAGAAUCAAGUGAUCGCUCAAAAUCCAUGGUUGUCAGCUUUAAACGUGGCCAAUAUCCGUGCUCCAAGCAUGCAGACAAUACAGGUCCCGAAUUUACAAUCAUUGCAAAAUAUUCAAGGAAUACAGGCAGUGCAAAAUGUUCAGGGGUUGCAAGGGUUUCAAAUAACACCACAGGGACAAUUAAUUGCUACGGGAAAUGUGCAAAACAUGGGGGCUGUGACGUUGACGCCCUCAGGGGGUCUAACGGUGGCCAAUGCCGUAGGGAACAACACACAACAACAGCAGCAACCGAGUCCACAGCAGUUCACAGCGACGAUACAGAACGUCGCGACACAGCUAACGACUGGACAGACAGGACAGACCCUAGCUGGAACUCCCCAGAUAAUUGCUGCUGGUCAACAGAUACAACAAGAUCCAAACGACCCCACAAAAUGGCAGGUAGUCCAGACCUCCCAGGGUGCCGCAGUAACACUGAGUCCGUCCCAGGUAUCCCAGCAGGGUGUGUCCGUGCUUGGGGAACAGAGUGUGACGUCUAAUCGUCGAUUACGCAGAGUUGCUUGUACAUGUCCAAACUGUACAGACAACGAGGGAAGAACUGGGGAAAACAAGAAAAAACAGCAUAUAUGUCAUAUUCCUGGGUGUAAGAAGGUGUAUGGUAAAACGUCGCAUCUUCGAGCACAUUUACGCUGGCACACAGGAGAACGUCCGUUUGUGUGUAACUGGAUGUUUUGUGGGAAACGCUUUACUCGCUCAGAUGAAUUACAGCGACAUAAACGGACACAUACAGGAGAGAAAAGAUUCGAGUGUAAAGAGUGCAAGAAGAAAUUUAUGAGGAGCGACCAUCUAUCAAAACAUCGAAAGACUCACUUUAACAAGAAAGCUGGUCCUAAUUUAGACCACAGUGGCAAUGGGGAGGAGGAUGAGGGAGAGAUGAUCGAGGGUGGUACCAUGGUGAUGAUAGAGUGUGAUGAUGACGGAACGGAAGAUGGGGCAGAGGCCUCGUUUGAGGUCACAGACGAUGAUAUAGACGUGCAAUGACCUUGACCCUUGUGAUAAAUAUGUGUUGGAUGACCUUGACCUUCUUGAUGGAUCUUUGUAAUAUAUAUAUAUAUAUAAAAUAACCAUGACAUAAAUUAUUUUGGAAAGAUCUAUUUAUGAAAAUUUUGACAUGGAGCUGUGGCAGAGAUGUAGGUCGAAGGUCAAGGACACCAGGUGAAGUGUGUACACAACUAUAGUUAUAUAUACAGUGGAACCUGAUUUAAACUCUAAACAUCAAGAAUACAUGAUUUCCAUAUGAUAUUGUUAAAGAACUGAACUGCAUUUCAUUAUUACUGUAUUAUUUUUGAAUUUGUUAAUGUAAUGGCUUUCCAGACAUUUGAUUGGAAAACCAAAAGUGUUACUGUCCAGUGCUGUUUGUUUGCAUUUCAAACAAUUAGGUCACAGUUGUUGGUUUGUAAAAAUACAUAUCGGCCUAAAAAGUGUUAAGAUUUUGUUAACUGUUCACAGUUGAGCUUUGUGAAAGAUGAUUGAACCUGUGAAUGUUAAUCCAGAUCUUGAACAUACAAACCAUGUAAAAAAAAAAUGGACAAUUUAGAAAAAAAACAUUCUAUUAAGGUUCCACUGUAAAAAUCAAGUUGAGAGACUAGACAUUUUCCUCAAAGGAAAUGUCUGCAAGGAUAUGUUAUAAUUAUCAAAGUCAUUCCAUAUGAGGAUUUGCCCACUGUUAAACAAGUGUGCUUAUCUUAACAAUAAAUUUUUAAUGUCUCAUUUUGUCCUGCAUAAUUUCAUUAAACUGUAGACAGUGUUUUGUUCAUGUUUCAACAUGAAAAGCUGACAUUAUAUUGAAACUUGUGAUAUUUUCAGUCCUGUGACAUAAUCAGAGGUCUUAAAUGCAUUUUAACUCAUUCAACCAUGGAGACACAUUUAAACUCUUUCAAUUCAAAGAUAGGGGUGAAUGAGUUAAUGUAUACAAUAUUAACUAGAUUGAUCUGUUCCUAAUGGAGUUAAAUUUCACAGUAACCUAGAAUAUGUCCAUUGAUAUAUUAUGGCUAGUUUCCUGAUUAGAAUACCUUUGUUUCAAAAUAUGGACAAUGAUGAAAUGUAUGAUGCGCAAAUUGAAAAAGAAUUUCUGACCUUUUGAACACCCCCGUGUUUUCCUGCCAACAGUCAAACUAUAAAGUUUUCGAGCACAGAUUUUUGAAAGAUCAUAUGUUAAUUUUAUGCACUUAACAGCUAGAAAAUGAAAUUGAACAUAUCCAUAAUUUAAUAUUUGAUAGUGGGAAAACAACUCUUGGUAUUUCGAGUGAUGAACACUUUUAUCAUUUUAGGCCUGAAUCGUUCGUGUAGUUAUUCAUUAGAAUAGCCGAUUAUUUUUGUUCUGUUGGUCAGGGUCAUAUUAAAAUGUCCUACGAUCAAAUGUUUUUUUUUUAUCAAUGUAUUGUUUUGUUAAACUUUCGAAAGAUUAAAUAUACAACAGUUUUUAUCCAUAUGUUUAAACAAGAAAAUGGUUACCUGUGAGAUGUAGUACAAUUCUAGAACUGCUCUGUUAUGUCAGAUCUGUGAUGUCGUGUGUGAGGAUAUAAAACCAAUACAAGUGAUUUUGGUGCCCAUGUUUUCUGUCUCCCAUGAAUACCUACUGUAAACGCAUAAUAUUUCGUUGGGGAUUUAAUUUCGUUUAUUUGGUGGUUAUAAUUAUAAAACCACGAAAUAUAAUACCAACGACAUUUUAAACACACGCAAUAUAAAAAAAAAUAUAAAAAAUAUUAAAUAUAGUAUUAAUCUUAUUACAAAUCCAUGGUGUAUUUAAAUUAACUGCGUCGUCGGGCCUGUCAAUUUAAACUUCUUACUAACCAGAAAAAAUACAGGGUUUUAAAAUAUUGAUUCCAAGAAAUAUAAUUCCAACAAAUUUGUCCCAAUACAAAAACAACGAAAUUUAACCCCAACGGAAAUAUAUGCUUUUGCAGUAUUCAGAUUUUUAAUUAGCUAAUGAAUGUUUUGAUAUUCAUAUUUUUUUUUUAAUUCACGAUGGUGCUUUUCCCCCAGAAAUCACAAGAUGUGCAAUUGUUUCUCUUACUAUGUAUUAUAUAGUACACUGUUAUAUAGGGAGACAUUUAUAUGGUGUUUUUUAAGAAUUACAUUAAAUCGCUUAACUCAAACAUAGAAGAGAAGUACUAUUUUUAGGAGUCGGAUGAUAAUGUAUGCUAGCCAUGGAGUAAACAACAAAAAGUUGCUCAGCUCACGAGAUACUUGUGAGAUAAGUUUGGUAGACAACAGGAAAGCAUCGGAUGAAAGGUCAGCUGUACAAAAUCUUCCAGAAGCCGUCAAAAUUAUUUCCAUAUCUUGGUUGAAACAUUCAAAUGUCCAUAAUCCGAAGUACCUAAAUUACAACCUUCUUUUGGUCAUUUGUCGGUCAGAAGAUAACAUGUUAGACGUCAUCGGAUCAUUAACCAAUUCACCUCUUAAAGUCACAUUUGAACCGUCCCAAAUCAAAGACUCGGCAAGUCCAGUUUAAUUAUGUAGGGGUGAAAGAGUUCAUUAACUAACUAUGCUUUUGGAAACUGUUGAGUGACAUUUUCCAUCUAUACCAUCCCUUUCCCAAAGAAAUUUUUGAUGCUGACAGAGUUUGUUGUUAAAGUGAGCUUGUAGUUUCAAAUUAAUGAAUAAUUAACGCACAGCAGACUUUCUCUGAUUGGGUGAUGAAGUAUGUGAAUAUAUGUUGGGUUAUUGCUAUCUUGCAAUUUAAUGAUCAGCUUGUUUUAUAGGCUUUUUAUUGAAUACUUUAAUAGGCUUUUAUACAUUUGGAAUUUCUACAAGAAACAUUUAUAAAUUUUCUUAACAUUCAAUACUUUUUUCUAUUGUUGUUUUCAGAUACAAGUUUAUAAGUUUUUUCCCAAUGUUGAGAUGAAAAACAAUUUGUAUAAUUGAACUUUUGAUAUUUUUUUAGUUACUUCAUGGUAUUCAUUUAAUUUCAUUAGAAUUGUUAAGGACACUGAAAUUUGUGAUACUGAUAGAUGGAAUUGUGCUUUAUUUACAGAUACUGUUAGCUUGUUGAGACACUUGACCAAAUAUCCACCUUUAGCAAGUUCACAGCUAUAAAUCUGUGUCGAAUACAGACAUUGGAUUAUUUUUGUCAAUAAAUAUUUUGACACUA
rnacentral:misc_RNA from 1 species